rnacentral:rRNA from 1 species
GCUCAGGAUGAACGCUAGCUACAGGCUUAACACAUGCAAGUCGAGGGGCAGCAUGAAGUUUGCUUGCAAACUUUGAUGGCGACCGGCGCACGGGUGAGUAACGCGUAUCCAACCUUCCCCGUAGUAGGGCACAGCCCGGCGAAAGUCGGAUUAAUUCCCUAUGUUGUUUGAUGCGGACAUCUAAUUCAAACCAAAGAUUUAUCGCUAUGGGAUGGGGAUGCGUCUGAUUAGGUUGCAGGCGGGGUAACGGCCCACCUGGCCGACGAUCAGUAGGGGUUCUGAGAGGAAGGUCCCCCACAUUGGAACUGAGACACGGUCCAAACUCCUACGGGAGGCAGCAGUGAGGAAUAUUGGUCAAUGGAGGCAACUCUGAACCAGCCAAGUAGCGUGCAGGACGACGGCCCUAUGGGUUGUAAACUGCUUUUAUGAGGGGAUAACCUGCGCCACGUGUGGCACUGCAUGUACCUCAUGAAUAAGGACCGGCUAAUUCGUGCAGCAGCCGCGGU